rnacentral:lncRNA from 1 species
CCCACAAACCCAUCACCUUCUCCGGCCGCCUUCCUUCUUCCCUGCUCACCGGCCACCCGGGCAAGCCACGGUCGCCGCAUCUUCCUCUCCCUCACCGGAUAAGCCAAGAGCAGCGUCUUCUUCUCCUCCGAUCUCAUCAGCAGCAGCCGGUCAACAAACAGGGCCCAUCACAGCGGCGGCUGAGCUCCCCCAGCACACCGAACCAGCCAUCGAUCUCCCCACAGCUGAAGAACACAGCGACGACAACAGCAGCGGCCGAACAGCCCCAGCGGCGACGCCCCCUUCUCAGUCGUUCCUCUUCAUGGCCACCUGAAACAGAGAAGGAAUCAGACCCGGAAUGAUGAAGAAGACCCAAAAGCAGAUCUGCAAACAAAAAAACAAAAAUAUAAAAUCGACUGCUUGUGUUCUUUUCUUUGUUUGCAGGUGACGGUGGUUGUCACCACCAGCAGAGAGGGAAAAGGGAAAGGAAGCGGAACCAGAUCUACCCGUUUCCUGUCUUUGUUCGCGGCGGCGCGUGAACCCACGCGCCGCCAGUGACGGUGGCGCGUGGGGGGAGACGCGCCGGAACUGUUCAUGCGGGUGCAGAAGUCCUUCCCUGCAAUUUCGGGAGUUUUGAGGGACCAUUUUGUAAAUUUUAAAGUUUUAAUGUAAUUUUUGUUUAUUUAUUUUAAAUUUGUAAUAUGUGAAUGUAAAAAAAAAAAAAAGGAAAAGAAAAGAAAAUAAUAAUAAAAAAGGGGA